GAUGAACGCUGGCGGCGUGCCUAAUACAUGCAAGUCGAGCGAACAGACGAGGAGCUUGCUCCUCUGACGUUAGCGGCGGACGGGUGAGUAACACGUGGAUAACCUACCUAUAAGACUGGGAUAACUUCGGGAAACCGGAGCUAAUACCGGAUAAUAUAUUGAACCGCAUGGUUCAAUAGUGAAAGACGGUUUUGCUGUCACUUAUAGAUGGAUCCGCGCCGCAUUAGCUAGUUGGUAAGGUAACGGCUUACCAAGGCAACGAUGCGUAGCCGACCUGAGAGGGUGAUCGGCCACACGGGAACUGGGACACGGUCCAGACUCCUACGGGAGGCAGCAGUAGGGAAUCUUCCGCAAUGGGCGAAAGCUUGACGGAGCAACGCCGCGUGAGUGAUGAAGGUCUUCGGAUCGUAAAACUCUGUUAUUAGGGAAGAACAAAUGUGUAAGUAACUAUGCACGUCUUGACGGUACCUAAUCAGAAAGCCACGGCUAACUACGUG
rnacentral:rRNA from 1 species